rnacentral:tRNA from 1 species
UCAGAAGGUAGUUUAUUUAAAAUGCUGGCUUUGGGGGCCAGAGAAGGGGGAAAAGUUCUCUCUCUUUUGAU